GGUUUGGGGAAUGGUCAAGUUUAGAUUGUCCAUAUCAGGGAAGUUCUCUGAAGUUCACUAAUAUUGACAAGUCCAACUCUUCCAUAAUUAAUGACAAUGAGCUCAUUGCAUACUUCAUGAAGUAUUUCUAGGUGCACAAAGGGGCAUAAAAAUAGCAAUAUAUAUACAAUACAGCUGAAAUAUAAGAUUAUCAAUGUUUUAUCCAUAUCGG
rnacentral:lncRNA from 1 species